rnacentral:rRNA from 1 species
GACAGCAGUAGCCGCGGUAAUACGUAGGUGGCAAGCGUUGUCCGGAAUUAUUGGGCGUAAAGGGCUCGCAGGCGGUUUCUUAAGUCUGAUGUGAAAGCCCCCGGCUCAACCGGGGAGGGUCAUUGGAAACUGGGAAACUUGAGUGCAGAAGAGGAGAGUGGAAUUCCACGUGUAGCGGUGAAAUGCGUAGAGAUGUGGAGGAACACCAGUGGCGAAGGCGACUCUCUGGUCUGUAACUGACGCUGAGGAGCGAAAGCGUGGGGAGCGAACAGGAUUAGAUACCCGAGUAGUCCCUGUCUCUUAUAA